rnacentral:miRNA from 1 species
UUUUGCCUGCUUAAGGGAUAGA